rnacentral:rRNA from 1 species
AACGAACGCUGGCGGCAGGCUUAACACAUGCAAGUCGAACGGGUGUAGCAAUACAUCAGUGGCAGACGGGUGAGUAACACGUGGGAACCUUCCUAGGGGUACGGAACAACUCAGGGAAACUUGAGCUAAUACCGUAUUCGUCCGUGAGGAGAAAGAUUUAUCGCCCUUAGACGGGCCCGCGUCGGAUUAGCUAGUUGGUGGGGUAACGGCCUACCAAGGCGACGAUCCUUAGCUGGUCUGAGAGGAUGAUCAGCCACACUGGGACUGAGACACGGCCCAGACUCCUACGGGAGGCAGCAGUGGGGAAUAUUGGACAAUGGGCGAAAGCCUGAUCCAGCAAUGCCGCGUGAGUGAUGAAGGCCCUAGGGUUGUAAAGCUCUUUUACCCGGGAUGAUAAUGACAGUACCGGGAGAAUAAGCUCCGGCUAACUCCGUGCCAGCCGCCGCAGUAA